UACGUAGGCAGCGAGCGUUGUUCGGAGUUACUGGGCGUAAAGAGUGCGUAGGCGGUUGGCUAAGUUUGGUGUGAAAUCUCCCGGCUCAACUGGGGAGGGUGCGCCGAAAACUGGCUGGCUGGAGUGUGGGAGAGGCUAGCGGAAUUCCUGGUGUAGCGGUGAAAUGCGUAGAGAUCGGGAGGAACAUCUGUGGCGAAGGCGACUGCCUGGACCAGCACUGACACUGAGGCACGAAAGCGUGGGGAGCAAACAGG
rnacentral:rRNA from 1 species